AUUCAAAUACCACGCAGGCAAUGAUAGAAACGGAGUCAAGUUUGGGCCGGGAAGCCACCUGCAGCUGGGCGGGCAACUUUGUGAAGAAUGUCCCGAUGAACCACGGCGUGUACACGUGGCCGGACGGCAGCAUGUAUGAAGGCGAAGUGGUCAACGGCAUGAGGAACGGAUUCGGGAUGUUCAAGUGCAGCACCCAGCCUGUGUCCUACAUCGGCCACUGGUGCAAUGUUAUAAAUCUGGAAAUAUAUACGAAGGCCAGUGGGAAGACAACAUGCGCCACGGGGAGGGGAGGAUGAGGUGGCUGACCACCAACGAAGAGUACACCGGGCGGUGGGAGAGGGGCAUCCAGAAUGGCUUUGGAACACACACGUGGUUUCUAAAGAGAAUCCGCAGUUCCCAGUAUCCUUUGAGAAAUGAAUACAUAGGGGAGUUUGUAAAUGGAUAUCGUCACGGACGUGGCAAGUUUUAUUAUGCCAGUGGAGCCACGUAUGAUGGAGAAUGGGUUUCCAAUAAGAAACAUGGCAUGGGCCGAUUAACUUUCAAGAACGGGCGUGUGUACGAAGGCGCAUUCUCCAAUGACCACAUAGCUGGGUUUCCAGAUCUUGAAGUUGAAUUCAUCAGCUGCCUGGACCUAUCUUCAGGAGUUGCCCCAAGAUUGUCCAGGAGCGCCGAACUGAUCAGAAAGCUUGAUGGCAGUGAAAGUCAUUCUGUGUUGGGAUCGAGCAUUGAGUUGGAUCUAAAUUUGCUCCUGGACAUGUACCCUGAGACAGUCCAACCUGAAGAAAAGAAGCAGGCAAUUUAUUCUGUGAGCAACAGCGGACGCUCUACUCUAUGAGUUACAUGAAUAAGUGCUGGGAGAUUUAUCUCGCCUACUGCAGACGCAGCGCAGCGCCUCCCCACGAGCCUACGAUGAAGAUGAGACACUUCCUCUGGAUGCUGAAAGACUUUAAAAUGAUAAAUAAAGAAUUAACAGCAGCUACAUUUAUGGAGGUCAUAGCAGAGGAUAAUCCGUUCAUAUAUGAUGGAAUUGACAGCAACUUUGAACCUGAGGAUGCCCCGAACAAGAGUCUCAGCGCGGUCAUGAGCCACGAAUCGGAUGCUGCUCACUCUGACAGUGCCAGGUCAUCUUCCAGCAAGUUAGAACUCUCGCGUGAUGUUAACAAAAUAAGGAAAUCAGAG
rnacentral:sRNA from 1 species